UACGUAGGUGGCAAGCGUUGUCCGGAAUUAUUGGGCGUAAAGCGCGCGCAGGCGGUCCUUUAAGUCUGAUGUGAGAGCCCACGGCUCAACCGUGGAGGGUCAUUGGAAACUGGGGGACUUGAGUACAGAAGAGAAGAGUGGAAUUCCACGUGUAGCGGUGAAAUGCGUAGAGAUGUGGAGGAACACCAGUGGCGAAGGCGACUCUUUGGUCUGUAACUGACGCUGAGGCGCGAAAGCGUGGGGAGCAAACAGG
rnacentral:rRNA from 1 species